GCCUUUGCGCAGAGGCGAUAUCGUUACUAAUGAGGUUUGAGCCGAAGUGCGAUUAUUGCUAGUUGAAAACUUUUCAUAUUUAUCCUACUUUAAGAAAUGUUGUAAAAAAUUAUUUUAGGAAUUAAUUUUUUGUUAUUUGGGAAUA